CAGCAGCCACGGUAAUACGUAGGGCGCAAGCGUUAUCCGGAAUUAUUGGGCGUAAAGAGCUCGUAGGCGGUUUGUCGCGUCUGCCGUGAAAGUCCGGGGCUCAACCCCGGAUCUGCGGUGGGUACGGGCAGACUAGAGUGAUGUAGGGGAGACUGGAAUUCCUGGUGUAGCGGUGAAAUGCGCAGAUAUCAGGAGGAACACCGAUGGCGAAGGCAGGUCUCUGGGCAUUAACUGACGCUGAGGAGCGAAAGCAUGGGGAGCGAACAGGAUUAGAUACCCGCGUAGUCCCUGUCUCUUAUAC
rnacentral:rRNA from 1 species